AUCUGUGCCAGCAUGCCAUACAUACUGUGAAUCUAGGAAAACCACAUAUGGGCCAUUCCUCUUUCUUUUGCUGCAGUCAGAGGAAAAACUGGUGCCUGCUGUGAUGUUCCUAAAGCUGUUUCCAGCUAUCUAUAAGCUCCUUCAACUCUCACCCCUGCUUUACCUCCUGAGAGGAGUUUAUCUUGGACUUCUUACUUCCAUUUACUCUAAGCCAUAUAGACUUCAAGAGCUGUUGAGAAAAGACAUCAACAGAUGGGGGCUGUAUGGAGAGGAGCAGAGCCUUUUAAAGAAUCCACAAAAUAGCCAUAUGAGGAAGCAUGUAUUUUAAGCAUCUGACAGAUCCAGAAAGCUUGGAGCUGGCAGAUGACAGAAACAGUCAAUUGAGAACUUUCCUGGGACUCUCUGAUCCUAGGGAGAUCAGAAACCACCGUAGGCAAGAUGGAGAGAGCAGAAAUCAGUAGGACAGGCAACAAAGAAAACCAGCCCAGCCUCUUCCUCAAACUGGGGUCUCUUGAUGGCAGCUGGCCCUAGUGGGCAACAUUUCAACUUUAAAACAUAGUUGGAGUUUUGAAUUUUAUUCUGGACUAGAUAUAUUAAAAUACUAACUUUGAGUUGAAGUUUGUGACUUUAGAAGUAGAUGGAGAAGUUAUAAGGACCCAUCUGACUUUUUCUUUUUUACAAGGGGGAUUAAACUUGGGGCCUUCACACUGACCUAAAGGGAGGGGGAGAAUUAAUAGCACUAAGCAAAUUUAAAGACACAAUCAUAGGCAAAAUUGUUGCUAUAUAACAACAUUCCAGGAGCCCCCUUUUCAAUGUGCCCAAACCAUGUCUUUAUAGCUUGCUUCAUACGGUCAGUACAACCCAUAUAAGGUCAGGAGAUUCUAGGUGGCUGCCUUCCCUUUUUCCCCUUGGGAGUCCCCUCAGUUAAUGCAUGACUGAUGCUGAAUCUGCAGCUAUGUUAUCUUUACAACCCUGUAAACGGGAUACUCUGCAACUGUGUAAGUUUGCAACUAUGUUAUCUUUACUACCUUGUAAAGAGGAUGCUCCUUACCUGUGUGAUAUUUUGUUUCAAUUAAACUGUGUGAAACUUGCCCAACUCCCACUAGCUUAACAAAGUUCUGCUCCUGUGAAAUUCUGCUUGCACAACCACUCUCCCUGAGCUCUCCCCAAUUAGAAGAGUCACUUAAAAGGACCCUGCAACUGGCAUGAGCCACUCUCAAUCACUGGCUUAUGACAAU
ensembl:lncRNA